rnacentral:rRNA from 1 species
CAUCCCAGUUCGGAUUGCAGGCUGCAACCCGCCUGUAUGAAGUUGGAAUCGCUAGUAAUCGCGGAUCAGAAUGCCGCGGUGAAUACGUUCCCGGGUCUUGUACACACCGCCCGUCACACCAUGGGAGUCGGGAAUGCCCGAAGUCGGUGACCUAACCGAAAGGGAGGAGCCGCCGAAGGCAGGCCUGGUAACUGGGGUGAAGUCGUAACAAGGUAAC